GCCACGGGUAAUAGAUAACUUGGGGAGUGAGAAAUUGUUUGCCUCUUAGGCGGACCCUAACCACGAUUCCAACUUCCAUCCAGGAUGAUUUUUAAAACGAUUCCAGCACCGAGAUUCAAAUAAAAGUAUCCCCGGGUGCGAAGGAAAACAUUUGUUUAGGGAAGCAUUACAAACACGAUAGUGUGUGCCUUGGAGCCAGCGCCCAGAGGCCUGCUGAUGUCCUGGGGCAGAAAUAGCCUGUUUCAUCAUCAGCUCGGAGGACCGCAGCCUGCAUUCCUCGAGUAAGGAGCCGUACUCGGCUGUGCUUUUGGAGCAAAAUAACAUGGCCAGCUGCAGGCUGGGGGAAGGCCAGGCUGAGGUUUCAGAGGGAGAGUUGCAGAAGGAUAUGAAAUAAUCAGGGAAGAGGCAAGUCCAGGAGCUGUGAGCUGCGUGGAAAGAAUGUGAAUGAAGACACAAUUCUAAAUGUAGAAUCGCGGACGCUAUGUGAGCUGGCUCCCUCAUCGUCCAGAAAAACAAGACCCGCUUGUACGUUCUGCAAGAGCAUAAAUAAAGCUGUCCUCAGGUGGCGUGCUACGGUGUCCCCUCCUUGCGGUGACUUCACUGGCCCCGACUCUCCACAGAACCUCUGGAAAGUUGUGGGAGCAGCCCAGCUGCCUGACAGCGUGGGUGAAAAUGGUCUUGCUCUUGUCUGGACAAGCGCGAUGCUCGCUAACUUAAUUUUGCAGCAGAUCUGCUCUGUUUUGCAUCCAUAUUAAUUAGAAACAUUCCAAAGCUGAUAAGGAGGGCAAGGUAGAAUAGGUCAUUCAGGCCAGUUUCCAGUUCUGUUUGAAGUUCACUUCCCUGCAAAUAACAUGAGGCAACUCCCUUGAUUCUUUCACUCUUGCAACAUUGUUAUAUUGAAAUGCUUGUCAGAGGUCCCUUCACUAGUGCUUGACCUUUAGAAGUCGCUUCCAUAAGGGUCUUCAGGAGAUUGGUGCAUUUCCCAGGCUUAAUAAUACCAAUAACAAUAAAAUAGUAAUGCUGGUGGACA
rnacentral:lncRNA from 1 species